rnacentral:rRNA from 1 species
UGAGGAAUCUUGCGCAAUGGAGGAAACUCUGACGCAGCCACGCCGCGUGCCGGAAGACGGCCCUAUGGGUUGUAAACGGCUUUUGAUUGGGAAGAACUGUCCCGUUUCGACGGGACUUGACGGUACCAUUUGAAUAAGCACCGGCUAACUCCGUGCCAGCAGCCGCGGUAAUACGGAGGGUGCAAGCGUUGUCCGGAAUCAUUGGGUGUAAAGGGUGCGUAGGCUGGCAUCUAAGUCUGGGGUGAAAUCUUGCCGCUUAACGGUAAAAUUGCCUUGGAUACUGGAUGUCUUGAAUCUGACAGAGGUCGGUGGAAUUCGUGGUGUAGCGGUGAAAUGCAUAGAUAUCACGAAGAACACCAGUGGCGAAGGCGGCCGGCUGGGUCAGUAUUGACGCUGAGGCACGAGAGCGUGGGGAGCGAACA